GGGGAUUUAGCUCAGUGGCAUAAGCACCUGCCUUGCAUGCAGGUGGUCAUCAGUUUGAUCCCCA
rnacentral:tRNA from 1 species